AGGUCAGGCGGGACUACCCGCUGAGUUUAGCAUAUCAAUAAGCG
rnacentral:rRNA from 1 species